GAUGAACGCUGGCGGCGUGCCUAAUACAUGCAAGUCGAGCGGAAGGACGAGGAGCUUGCUGCGCUGAUGUUAGCGGCGGACGGGUGAGUAACACGUGGAUAACCUACCUAUAAGACUGGGAUAACUACGGGAAACCGGAGCUAAUACCAGAUGAGAUUUUGCACCGCAUGGUUCAAAAGAGAAAGACGGUCUUGCUGUCACUUAUCGAUGGAUCCGCGCUGCAUUAGCUGGUUGGUAGGGUAAAGGCUUAUCAAGGCAACGAUGCAUGGACGACCGCAGAGAGUGAUCGCCGACAUGAGAGCGUGACCGGGGUCCAGACUACUGAGGUAGGCAGCAGACGGGAAUGUUACGCAGUAGUCGAAAGCCUUGCGGAGUAGCGCCACGUGAGUGAUGAAGAUCUUCGGAUCGUAAAACUGUGUUAUUGGUGGAGAACAUAUGUGUAAGUAGAUGUGCACAUCGUGACGGUACCUGGUCAGGAAGCCCCGGCUAACUACGUG
rnacentral:rRNA from 1 species